AUUGAACGCUGGCGGCAGGCCUAACACAUGCAAGUCGAGCGAGUGGCGGACGGGUGAGUAAUGUAUGGGGACUGCCCGAUAGAGGGGGAUAACUACUGGAAACGGUAGCUAAUACCGCAUACUAUCGGAUAACCCAUAUGGGAUUAGCUCGUGGGUGGGGUAAUGGCUUACCGAGGCGACGAUCCCUGGCUGGUCUGAGCGGAUGAUCAGCCAAACUGGCACUGAGACACGGCCCAGACGCCUACGGAGGCAGCAGUGGGGAAUAUUGCGCAAUGGGCGAAAGCCUGAUGGAGCCAUGCCGCGUGUAUGAAGAAGGCCCGAGGGUUGUAAAGUACUUUCAGUCGGGAGGCGUUACCGACAGAAGAAGCACCGGCUAACUCCGUGCCAGCAGCCGCGGUAAUAC
rnacentral:rRNA from 1 species